rnacentral:sRNA from 12 species
UUCGUCAGCUAAUGGGCUAAUCUUUUAUUUGCAGAACUAAGACUGCGUAAGUGACGAAAUAUUUUAUAGAAGCAUUUGGCACUACAGAUGUGAUUGAACAUGUAUGCACCGGAUCGGGGCUUCGGCAACGGUUGGGGGCUUAAGUGAACAAUCUGCAAAAUAUAUUUUUUUAACAAAAUUAGGCAAAAACUGAUAGAAUAGUGCUUCUGUCAGUUUUU